UACGUAGGGCGCAAGCGUUAUCCGGAAUUAUUGGGCGUAAAGAGCUCGUAGGCGGUCAGUCGCGUCUGCUGUGAAAACUCGGGGCUUAACUCCGGGCCUGCAGUGGGUACGGGCUGACUAGAGUGCGGUAGGGGAGACUGGAAUUCCUGGUGUAGCGGUGAAAUGCGCAGAUAUCAGGAGGAACACCGGUGGCGAAGGCGGGUCUCUGGGCCGUAACUGACGCUGAGGAGCGAAAGCGUGGGGAGCAAACAGG
rnacentral:rRNA from 1 species